UAGGGAAUCUUCCACAAUGGACGCAAGUCUGAUGGAGCAACGCCGCGUGAGUGAAGAAGGGUUUCGGCUCGUAAAAGCUCUGUUGUUAAAGAAGAACGUGGGUAAGAGUAACUGUUUACCCAGUGACGGUAUUUAACCAGAAAGCCACGGCUAACUACGUGCCAA
rnacentral:rRNA from 1 species